GGCACUCGACUCGGCUCUGCAGAGUCCAGCGCUGAAGCUACACCAGGUGAACCGGGAGAACAUGGAAUGGUACAUGGACCAGCUCCUCAUCGACCGCGAGCAGAAAGCACUGGAGCUGGGGAUGGUGGACCCGCUGGAGAAGGAAGAGCUCCAGGCCGCUGUUCAUGCAGCCAACAAAAAUGCCAGCGUGCAUCUGAGCAUGCUGCAGUCCGUGGCCAGGAUCAACACAGCCGUACGCAAGGGGAUCCCCGCUGGGACGACG